AACGAACGCUGGCGGCAUGCCUAACACAUGCAAGUCGAACGAGACCUUCGGGUCUAGUGGCGCACGGGUGCGUAACGCGUGGGAACCUGCCCUUAGGUUCGGAAUAACUCCCCGAAAGGGGUGCUAAUACCGGAUAAUGUCUUCGGACCAAAGAUUUAUCGCCUUUGGAUGGGCCCGCGUUGGAUUAGCUAGUUGGUAGGGUAAAAGCCUACCAAGGCGACGAUCCAUAGCUGGUCUGAGAGGAUGAUCAGCCACACUGGGACUGAGACACGGCCCAGACUCCUACGGGAAGCAGCAGUGGGGAAUAGUGGAAAAGGGGCGAAAGGCUGAUACAGCAAUGCCGGGUGAGUGAUGAAGGCCUUAGGGUUGUAAAGCUCUUUUACCCGGGAUGAUAAUGACAGUACCGGGAGAAUAAGCUCCGGCUAACUCCGUG
rnacentral:rRNA from 1 species